rnacentral:lncRNA from 1 species
GAGCUCUACGGUGACUUUGAAGACUUGGAAACGGGACAUGCACAAGGGAAAAUCGGGCCCCGACACUCAGAAUGAAGAUAUAGAGAAACAAGGAAGAAAUUGACCCCGAUGAAGAAGAAAGUGCCAAGAAAAAGCAUUUGGAUAAGAAGAGAAAAUUGAAGGAGAUGUUUGAUGCGGAAUAUGAUGAAGGAGAAAGCACAUAUUUUGAUCUUAAAGGAGAAAUGCAGAAAGAAGCGCAGAUGCGUCUGAAGAAACAUCGCUGGUAUAAGAAAAUCCUCAAGUCCCAAGAUCCAAUCAUAUUUUCUGUAGGGUGAAGGAGGUUUCAGACCAUCCUGCUGUAUUAUAUCGAAGACCACAAUGGAAGACAAAGGCUUCUAAAGUGUACCCCACAGCACAUGCAUUGUGGAGCAGCCUUUUGGGGUAAAAUAUGAUUACAAUAACUUGCCUAUUGCCGAGAUUAAACUUUACAGGCUGUGUUAUUUUAGCUUUGUGCUUUUCCUUUCAUAAAAUUCCACUCCUAAGAUGCUUCUCUUUUCUGGGAGCGGGGAGGUGGUUUGGAGUAUAUAUGUACAUCUAUAUCCAAAUCUAAAUGUCCAUAUCCAGUAUGUUAAACUAGAAUCUAAAAUUUCUGGUUUGCUAUAUUUCUUUUUUUCCUUUUCCUUUAAGACCCUAUCACUCCACAGGGAACUGGUUUCUUGGCAAUACAGUCUGUCAGUGGCAUAAUGGUAACUAUCUUGGACGAUUUCUUUUACAGAUUGGUUUGAGAAAUAUAUCCUGAAUGUGGGUUAUUAUGUACAUGAG